CCUUCCUUCCCGGGGGCGGCGGCGCGCACGUUUUCACUUUACGUUCCGACGCGAUGACGUCAUUCCGAGGGGGGUUACGUCAGUGAGCGAGCGUGACAUCCAUGCACAAUCUACUAAUAGACCCCUGGCGUGUGCCUGCUGGCACUCCUUUCAGGACCUCAGAGACAACAUGGCGAACUUUGGGACUGUAACAGAAUGUGCUUCACUAAAAUGCAGAAGUGAGGCUGGUUCUCCUGCAGCAGAUGCAACCUCUGGUUCUGGUCCAGACCGCCUGCCUCCAGCACCAGGGCAAAGUGCUCAAUGUAGCGCAGUGAGAGGCGGUCCUGCAGGGAGGAGAUCACAUCCUGGAAGAAGAGACAUGGAAACUGAUAAGAGAUUGAAAUGCAUCUCCACAUUGCUGGAAGGACACCCAUUCUGCUGGAUCUUCAAGGAGGUGCCAGUGACUAGCUGUUCAUCAGGCUGCCCCGGACACUCCCGCAGGAAUCCUGCAGGACAACACCACCAGUUCAUUCUGUGGUGAAAGUGAAGGCUGAUAUAUGAAGGUAGAUUCUCCAGCCAGCCCAUCUCAUCCCUGCUAACAGGUCCUGAUGGGAAGUUGGCAAUCUUAACAUCUCCCCAAAAAUGUUGUUGCUCAGCAUGCUGCCCACUCUAAGCUGAAAUAGAAGAUGCACAGCAGGCUUUUUUUCAUUUCAGUUUUCCUUGAUACUGACACACAUUCAUUUGUUGAAACGCAAGGUGAUGAAGUACACGUCAGUGAUUCAGCAUAGAGGGGGUCCUAACAAGUAUAAGUGGCCACCUCUCUGAGACAAUAAGUGCGCCUGUGAUUGAUUAUAAUCCCAAAGUGCUUUAGGGAUAAACAACAUGUUUUUGAUGUUUGUGAUCAUUGUCUUUCAUAUGCUAAUUAAGGACAGCUUCCAAAUGUUGACGAGUGUUUCCUUUUCGCAAAAUACAGCGUUUAGUACACUGUGCUGCAUUAAUAAUAAUAAUAAUGAAGAAACAAACAUAUCUAAUUCUAAAAUUGAAAAACCUUGUUGUGAUAAUUAUGAUAGCAUAUUUAUUGUAUAUAAAAGUACAUUUCCACGCAAUUACUCAUGACUGCAGCAAAUUUGAUUACUGUAUUGACUGCAGUCAUUUACUCUGCUGCAUUAUUAAACUCCCUCACACACAUCCUGUAAUGGCCGUAGUCAUUGGCUGAUGUACCUAGCUAUAAGAGCGAACCCACAACUCUGCAUCAGCUUUCUGCUCACUGGCAUCGAAUCAAUGCAGAAUUGCAGAUGUGAGCAAAAGCUGCAGAGGACACACACACACACACGCUCAAAUCGCCGCCGU